GAUUUCUGGUAUGAAGCCGCUGAUCCGCCUCCUCGGAGUGUGAGUGUUGGUGUGCGUCUGCCAUCUUUGUAAAUACCCCUUCGGGCCUUUACUGGUUCGGAGUUCUGUGUUUGCAUCUUUUACUUUGAAAAAAUUAGAGUGUUUAAAGCAGGCUUUUGCUAUGAAUACAUUAGCAUGGAAUAAUAAUAUAGGACUUCGGUUCUAUUUUGUUGGUUUCUAGUACUGAAGUAAUGAUUGAUAGGGAUAGUUGGGGGUGCUAGUAUUCAGCGGCCAGAGGUGAAAUUCUUGGAUUCGCUGAAGACUAACUUAUGCGAAAGCAUU
rnacentral:rRNA from 1 species